rnacentral:miRNA from 1 species
ACUAUUAGGUUGGUGCAAAAGUAAUCACGGUUUUUGCCAUUACUUUCAAUAGCAAAAACUGCGAUUAC